GCGUAAAGCGCGCGCAGGCGGUUCCUUAAGUCUGAUGUGAAAGCCCCCGGCUCAACCGGGGAGGGUCAUUGGAAACUGGGGAACUUGAGUGCAGAAGAGAAGAGUGGAAUUCCACGUGUAGCGGUGAAAUGCGUAGAGAUGUGGAGGAACACCAGUGGCGAAGGCGACUCUUUGGUCUGUAACUGACGCUGAGGCGCGAAAGCGUGGAGAGCGAACAGGAUUAGAUACCCUGGUAGUCCACGCCGUAAACGAUGAGUGCUAAGUGUUAGAGGGUUUCCGCCCUUUAGUGCCGCAGCAAACGCAUUAAGCACUCCGCCUGGGGAGUACGGCCGCAAGGCUGAAACUCAAAGGAAUUGACGGGGGCCCGCACAAGCGGUGGAGCAUGUGGUUUAAUUCGAAGCAACGCGAAGAACCUUACCAGGUCUUGACAUCUCCUGACAACCCUAGAGAUAGGGCGUUCCCCUUCGGGGGACAGGAUGACAGGUGGUGCAUGGUUGUCGUCAGCUCGUGUCGUGAGAUGUUGGGUUAAGUCCCGCAACGAGCGCAACCCUUGAUCUUAGUUGCCAGCAUUCAGUUGGGCACUCUAUGGUGACUGCCGGUGACAAACCGGAGGAAGGUGGGGAUGACGUCAAAUCAUCAUGCCCCUUAUGACCUGGGCUACACACGUGCUACAAUGGAUGGUACAAAGGGCUGCGAGACCGCGAGGUUAAGCGAAUCCCAUAAAACCAUUCUCAGUUCGGAUUGCAGGCUGCAACUCGCCUGCAUGAAGCCGGAAUCGCUAGUAAUCGCGG
rnacentral:rRNA from 1 species